rnacentral:rRNA from 1 species
CCUACGGGGUGCUGCAGUGAGGAAUUUUGCGCAAUGGGAGCAAUCCUGACGCAGCAACGCCGCGUGGGUGAUGAAGGCCUUCGGGUCGUAAAGCCCUGUCAGGUGGGAAGAAUGUCCCGGGACUGAACAGGUUCCGGGCGUGCCGGUACCACCAGAGGAAGCACCGGCUAACUCCGUGCCCGCAGCCGCGGUAAUGCGGAGGGUGCAAGCGUUCUUCGGAAUUACUGGGCGUAAAGCGCGUGUAGGCGGUGCUGCAAGUCUGAUGUGA